rnacentral:rRNA from 1 species
UAGAGUUUGAUCCUGGCUCAGAUUGAACGCUGGCGGCAUGCCUUACACAUGCAAGUCGAACGGUAACAGGUCUUCGGAUGCUGACGAGUGGCGAACGGGUGAGUAAUACAUCGGAACGUGCCCGAGAGUGGGGGAUAACGAAGCGAAAGCUUUGCUAAUACCGCAUACGAUCUCAGGAUGAAAGCAGGGGACCGCAAGGCCUUGCGCUCACGGAGCGGCCGAUGGCAGAUUAGGUAGUUGGUGGGAUAAAAGCUUACCAAGCCGACGAUCUGUAGCUGGUCUGAGAGGACGACCAGCCACACUGGGACUGAGACACGGCCCAGACUCCUACGGGAGGCAGCAGUGGGGAAUUUUGGACAAUGGGCGCAAGCCUGAUCCAGCCAUGCCGCGUGCAGGAUGAAGGCCUUCGGGUUGUAAACUGCUUUUGUACGGAACGAAAAGACUCUGGUUAAUACCUGGGGUCCAUGACGGUACCGUAAGAAUAAGCACCGGCUAACUACGUGCCAGCAGCCGCGGUAAUA